rnacentral:sRNA from 1 species
CCCAGCGAUGAAUCGCUGGGCUAUUAUCGAUCGUGCGCACG